rnacentral:rRNA from 1 species
AACGCUAGCUACAGGCUUAACACAUGCAAGUCGAGGGGCAGCAUGGUCUUAGCUUGCUAAGGCCGAUGGCGACCGGCGCACGGGUGAGUAACACGUAUCCAACCUGCCGUCUACUCUUGGACAGCCUUCUGAAAGGAAGAUUAAUACAAGAUGGCAUCAUGAGUCCGCAUGUUCACAUGAUUAAAGGUAUUCCGGUAGACGAUGGGGAUGCGUUCCAUUAGAUAGUAGGCGGGGUAACGGCCCACCUAGUCUUCGAUGGGUAGGGGUUCUGAGAGGAAGGUCCCCCACAUUGGAACUGAGACACGGUCCAAACUCCUACGGGAGGCAGCAGUGAGGAAUAUUGGUCAAUGGGCGAGAGCCUGAACCAGCCAAGUAGCGUGAAGGAUGACUGCCCUAUGGGUUGUAAACUUCUUUUAUAAAGGAAUAAAGUCGGGUAUGGAUACCCGUUUGCAUGUACUUUAUGAAUAAGGAUCGGCUAACUCCGUGCCAGCAGCCGCGGUAAUACGGAGGAUCCGAGCGUUAUCCGGAUUUAUUGGGUUUAAAGGGAGCGUAGAUGGAUGUUUAAGUCAGUUGUGAAAGUUUGCGGCUCAACCGUAAAAUUGCAGUUGAUACUGGAUAUCUUGAGUGCAGUUGAGGCAGGCGGAAUUCGUGGUGUAGCGGUGAAAUGCUUAGAUAUCACGAAGAACUCCGAUUG